rnacentral:rRNA from 1 species
GAUGAACGCUGGCGGCGUGCCUAAUACAUGCAAGUCGAGCGAACAGAUAAGGAGCUUGCUCCUUUGACGUUAGCGGCGGACGGGUGAGUAACACGUGGGUAACCUACCUAUAAGACUGGAAUAACUUCGGGAAACCGGGGCUAAUGCCGGAUAACAUUUAGAACCGCAUGGUUCUAAAGUGAAAGAUGGUUUUGCUAUCACUUAUAGAUGGACCCGCGCCGUAUUAGCUAGUUGGUAAGGUAACGGCUUACCAAGGCAACGAUACGUAGCCGACCUGAGAGGGUGAUCGGCCACACUGGAACUGAGACACGGUCCAGACUCCUACGGGAGGCAGCAGUAGGGAAUCUUCCGCAAUGGGCGAAAGCCUGACGGAGCAACGCCGCGUGAGUGAUGAAGGUCUUCGGAUCGUAAAACUCUGUUAUUAGGGAAGAACAAAUGUGUAAGUAACUGUGCACGUCUUGACGGUACCUGAUCAGAAAGCCACGGCUAACUACGUG